ensembl:scaRNA
GUGUGCCUAGGUAAGAAGUUCAAGGUUCCCAGUGCUCAGCUCCUGCGGUGGCGCAGGACGCACAGUGUACCCCCCCCCCCUCAGUUUAGGAGGGCAGCCUGAAGAAUGGGUCUGGCUCUUAAAGGCACGAGGAGACAAU